rnacentral:rRNA from 1 species
GGCGAACGCUGGCGGCGUGCUUAACACAUGCAAGUCGAACGGAAAGGCCCUGCUUUUGUGGGGUGCUCGAGUGGCGAACGGGUGAGUAACACGUGAGUAACCUGCCCUUGACUUUGGGAUAACUUCAGGAAACUGGGGCUAAUACCGGAUAGGAGCUCCUGCUGCAUGGUGGGGGUUGGAAAGGUUCGGCGGUUGGGGAUGGACUCGCGGCUUAUCAGCUUGUUGGUGGGGUCGUGGCUUACCACGGCGUUGACGGGUAGCCGGCCUGAGAGGGUGACCGGCCACAUUGGGACUGAGAUACGGCCCAGAGUCGUACGGGAGGCAGCAGUGGGGAAUAUUGCACGAUGGGCGGAAGCCUGAUGCAGCAACGCCGCGUGCGGGAUGACGGCCUUCGGGUUGUAAACCGCUUUCGCCUGUGACGAAGCGUGAGUGACGGUAAUGUGUAAAGAAGCACCGGCUAACUACGUG